rnacentral:rRNA from 1 species
GAUGAACGCUAGCGACAGGCUUAACACAUGCAAGUCGAGGGGCAGCACGGGAGUAGCAAUACAACUGGUGGCGACCGGCGCACGGGUGAGUAACGCGUAUGCAACCUACCUAUCAGAGGGGAAUAACCCGGCGAAAGUCGGACUAAUACCGCAUAAAACAGGGGCACCGCAUGGUGAUAUUUGUUAAAGAAAUUCGCUGAUAGAUGGGCAUGCGUUCCAUUAGGUAGUUGGUGAGGUAACGGCUCACCAAGCCGACGAUGGAUAGGGGAACUGAGAGGUUGGUCCCCCACACUGGUACUGAGACACGGACCAGACUCCUACGGGAGCAGCAGUGAGGAAUAUUGGUCAAUGGGCGAGAGCCUGAACCAGCCAAGUCGCGUGAAGGAAGAAGGAUCUAUGGUUCGUAAACUUCUUUUGCAGGGGAAUAAAGUGCAGGACGUGUCCUGUUUUGUAUGUACCCUGAGAAUAAGGAUCGGCUAACUCCGUGCCAGCAGCCGAC